UGGGGAAUAUUGCACAAUGGGCGCAAGCCUGAUGCAGCCAUGCCGCGUGUAUGAAGAAGGCCUUCGGGUUGUAAAGUACUUUCAGCGAGGAGGAAGGCGUUGUGGUUAAUAACCGCAACGAUUGACGUUACUCGCAGAAGAAGCACCGGCUAACUCCGUGCCAGCAGCCGCGGUAAUACGGAGGGUGCAAGCGUUAAUCGGAAUUACUGGGCGUAAAGCGCACGCAGGCGGUCUGUCAAGUCGGAUGUGAAAUCCCCGGGCUCAACCUGGGAACUGCAUCCGAAACUGGCAGGCUAGAGUCUUGUAGAUGGGGGUAGAAUUCCAGGUGUAGCGGUGAAAUGCGUAGAGAUCUGGAGGAAUACCGGUGGCGAAGGCGGCCCCCUGGACAAAGACUGACGCUCAGGUGCGAAAGCGUGGGGAGCAAACA
rnacentral:rRNA from 1 species